AUUGCACGCUGGCGGCAGGCCUAACACAUGCAAGUCGAGCGAGCGGCGGACGGGUGAGUAAUGUAUGGGGACUGCCCGACAGAGGGGGAUAACUACUGGAAACGGUAGCUAAUACCGCAUACUAUCGGAUAACCCAUAUGGGAUUAGCUAGUAGGUGAGGUAAUGGCUCACCUAGGCGACGCUCCCUAGCUGGUCUGAGAGGAUGAUCCGCCACACUGGGACUGAGAAACGGCCCAUACUCCUACGGAGGCAGCAGUGGGGAAUAUUGCACAAUGGGCGAAAGCCUGAUGCAGCCAUGCCGCGGGUGUGAAGAAGGCCCUAGGGUUGUAAAGUACUUUCAGUCGGGAGGCGUUACCGAACGAAAAAGCACCGGCUAACUCCGUGCCAGCAGCCGCGGUAAUUC
rnacentral:rRNA from 1 species